rnacentral:tRNA from 1 species
GCGCUGGUAGUCUAAUGGUUAGGACACUGCCCUGCCACGGCAGAAACGCGGGUUCGAAUUUUUAUAAAAAAGGAAUUCCCGCCCAGCGCA